rnacentral:lncRNA from 1 species
GAAGUGAUUGCCUGGGUGAGGACCAACUCCGAGACACAGAGCUGAAAGUGCCCUCCAGUGCCUGGGAGGAAAUGAGGAAAUGUCCAGUCUCACACUCACUGCCAGUGUGAGAGUGAGAUCAGGAGAAAGAUUGGACUGAAGAUGUCUCUUACCGGUGAAGGUUAGGACGGCAGACACAACGCAGAGAAAGAAAUGAACUGAAACAUCUAUGCUUUGUUCUUUCCCCUGCUAAAUUCUCCAAACAGAAACCCCAGAUUCCAGGGGGCUCCAGAGCCAUGGUCCGCCUGAGCCCCUGACGUUACCAAGGGCUUGAACAUGCGGGGAGCUUAUUACUAGAGAAAAGCUGCCUGGCCAGUGUGGGGACGAGACUGCAGAUCCAAAAGGAUGGAGCCUUGCAUUUGAGGAACUUGAAGAGAGAAGGACUAACUCUCAGGUGCCUCCCCAAGAGGCAUUGAACUCAGGACCUCAUGCUUGCCAGGCAGACGCUGUGCCUCUGAGCUACAACCUCAGACCCCUGGUUAGAUCUUGAGACAAGGCGUUUUCAGAGCCAUCACUUCCUGGCUUCUGUCUCCCCAUGUGAUCCAUCUCACUCUCAUCAUUGUGAGACUAUUGGCCAUGCGGGUCUUCCUAGAGCUGGGAAAAAAUGUGUUUUUGAACAUUCAGAACAGUGAGCUAAAUAAACCUUUUUUCUUUAUAAGCACCCAGCCUCACAUAUUGUGCUAUAGCAACAGAA